GAUGAACGCUGGCGGCGUGCCUAAUACAUGCAAGUCGAGCGGACAGACGAGGAGCUUGCUCCUCUGACGUUAGCGGCGGACGGGUGAGUAACACGUGGAUAACCUACCUAUAAGACUGGGAUAACUUCGGGAAACCGGAGCUAAUACCGGAUAAUAUAUUGAACCGCAUGGUUCAAUAGUGAAAGACGGUUUUGCUGUCACUUAUAGAUGGAUCCGCGCCGCAUUAGCUAGUUGGUAAGGUAACGGCUUACCAAGGCUACGAUGCGUAGCCGACCUGAGAGGGUGAUCGGCCACACUGGAACUGAGACACGGUCCAGACUCCUACGGGAGGCAGCAGUAGGGAAUCUUCCGCAAUGGGCGAAAGCUUGACGGAGCAACGCCGCGUGAGUGAUGAAGGUCUUCGGAUCGUAAAACUCUGUUAUUAGGGAAGAACAAAUGUGUAAGUAACUAUGCACGUCUUGACGGUACCUAAUCAGAAAGCCACGGCUAACUACGUG
rnacentral:rRNA from 1 species